UACGUAGGGUGCAAGCGUUGUCCGGAAUUACUGGGCGUAAAGAGUUCGUAGGCGGUUUGUCGCGUCGUUUGUGAAACCAGCAGCUCAACUGCUGGCUUGCAGGCGAUACGGGCAGACUUGAGUACUGCAGGGAGACUGGAAGUUCCUGGUGUAGCGGUGAAAUGCGCAGAGUAUCAGGAGGAACACCGGUGCGAAGGCGGGU
rnacentral:rRNA from 1 species